rnacentral:rRNA from 1 species
CAUGGCUCAGGAUGAACGCUAGCGGCAGGCUUAACACAUGCAAGUCGAGGGGUAACGGUCCACUUCGGUGGAGCCGACGACCGGCGUACGGGUGAGUAACGCGUAUGGAACCUUCCUUCAACAGGAGAAUAGCCCGAGGAAACUCGGAUUAAUACUCCAUUAAGUUACAUUUACGCCUGUAAUUGUAACCAAAGCUAAGGCGGUUGAAGAUGGCCAUGCGUAUCAUUAGUUUAGUUGGUAGGGUAACGGCCUACCAAGGCGACGAUGGUUAGGGGUCCUGAGAGGGUAUUCCCCCACACUGGAACUGAGACACGGUCCAGACUCCUACGGGAGGCAGCAGUGAGGAAUAUUGGUCAAUGGGCGAUAGCCUGAACCAGCCAUGCCGCGUGCAGGAUGACGGCCCUAUGGGUUGUAAACUGCUUUUCUGCGGGAAGAAAAGUGAGGAUUCGUUCUUUGCUUGACGGUACUGCAGGAAUAAGCAUCGGCUAACUCCGUGCCAGCAGCCGCGGUAAUACGGAGGAUGCGAGCGUUAUCCGGAUUCAUUGGGUUUAAAGGGUGCGCAGGCGGGGUGAUAAGUCAGUGGUGAAAGCCCGGAGCUUAACUCCGGGAUUGCCAUUGAAACUGUCACUCUUGAGUGCAGUCGGAGGCGGCGGAAUGAGUUAUGUAGCGGUGAAAUGCAUAGAUAUAACUCAGAACACCGAUCGCGAAGGCAGCUGCCUAGACUGUUACUGACGCUGAGGCACGAAAGCGUGGGGAGCCAACAGGAUUAGAUACCCUGGUAGUCCACGCUGUAAACGAUGAUCACUCGCUGUUGGCGAUAUAAAGUCAGCGGCUGAGCGAAAGCAUUAAGUGAUCCACCUGGGGAGUACGUCGGCAACGAUGAAACUCAAAGGAAUUGACGGGGGCCCGCACAAGCGGAGGAACAUGUGGUUUAAUUCGAUGAUACGCGAGGAACCUUACCUGGGCUUAAAUGUAGGGUGCAUGGAGGGGAAACCUUCCUUACCUUCGGGACUCCCUACAAGGUGCUGCAUGGUUGUCGUCAGCUCGUGCCGUGAGGUGUCGGGUUAAGUCCCAUAACGAGCGCAACCCCUAUCGUUAGUUGCCAUCAGGUAAAGCUGGGGACUCUAGCGAGACUGCCGGUGUAAACCGGAGGAAGGUGGGGAUGACGUCAAAUCAGCACGGCCCUUACGCCCAGGGCUACACACGUGUUACAAUGGCCGGAACAAAGAGCAGCUACCACGCGAGUGGAUGCUAAUCUUCAAAACCGGUCCCAGUUCGGAUCGAAGUCUGCAAUUCGACUUCGUGAAGGUGGAUUCGCUAGUAAUCGCGCAUCAGCCAUGGCGCGGUGAAUAAGUUCCCGGGCCUUGUACACACCGCCCGUCAAGCCAUGGAAGCCGGGGGUACCUGAAGUCCGUAACCGAUUUCACUUCGGUGGGAGAGGAGCGGCCUAAGGUAAAACCGGUGACUGGGGCUAAGUCGUAACAAGGU